rnacentral:rRNA from 1 species
CCCUUAGAUGUUCUGGGCCGCACGCGCGCUACACUGACGAUGGCAACGAGUUUUUCCUUCGCCGAAAGGUGUGGGUAAUCUUUUGAAACAUCGUCGUGCUGGGGAUAGAUCAUUGCAAUUUUUGAUCUUGAACGAGGAAUUCCUAGUAAACGCAGAUCAUCAAUCUGCAUUGAUUACGUCCCUGCCCUUUGUACACACCGCCCGUCGCACCUACCGAUUGGAUGGUCCGGUGAAGCCUCGGGAUUGUGGCGGUUGCCUUUAUUGGUGUCCGCCGCGAGAACUUGUCUAAACCUUAUCAUCUAGAGGAAGGUGAAGUCGUAACA